UGGGGAAUUUUUGGACAAUGGGGGCAACCCUGAUCCAGCCAUGCCGCGUGAGUGAAGAAGGCCUUCGGGUUGUAAAGCUCUUUCGGCCGGGGAAGAAAUCGCUCAAGCUAAUACCUUGGGUGGAUGACGGUACCGGAAGAAGAAGCACCGGCUAACUACGUGCCAGCAGCCGCGGUAAUACGUAGGGUGCGAGCGUUAAUCGGAAUUACUGGGCGUAAAGCGUGCACAGGCGGUUUCGUAAGACAGAUGUGAAAUCCCCGGGCUUAACCUGGGAACUGCGUUUGUGACUGCGAGACUUGAGUGCGGCAGAGGGGGGUGGAAUUCCACGUGUAGCAGUGAAAUGCGUAGAGAUGUGGAGGAACACCGAUGGCGAAGGCAGCCCCCUGGGUCGACACUGACGCU
rnacentral:rRNA from 1 species